rnacentral:rRNA from 1 species
AGUGAACGCUGGCGGCAGGCCUAACACAUGCAAGUCGAACGGUAGCACAGAGGAGCUUGCUCCUUGGGUGACGAGUGGCGGACGGGUGAGGAAUACAUCGGAAUCUACCCUGUCGUGGGGGAUAACGUAGGGAAACUUACGCUAAUACCGCAUACGAACUGAGGUUGAAAGCGGCGGACCGCAAGGCGUCGCGCGAUUGGAUGAGCCGAUGUCCGAUUAGCUAGUUGGCGGGGUAAUGGCCCACCAAGGCGACGAUCGGUAGCUGGUCUGAGAGGAUGAUCAGCCACACUGGAACUGAGACACGGUCCAGACUCCUACGGGAGGCAGCAGUGGGGAAUAUUUGGGACCAAUGGGCGCAAGCCUGAUCCAGCCAUGCCGCGUGUGUG